AUUGAACGCUGGCGGCAUGCCUUACACAUGCAAGUCGAACGGUAACGCGGGGCAACCUGGCGACGAGUGGCGAACGGGUGAGUAACGCAUCGGAACGUGCCCAGUAGUGGGGGAUAGCCCGGCGAAAGCCGGAUUAAUACCGCAUACGACCUACGGGUGAAAGGGGGGAUCGCAAGACCUCUCGCUAUUGGAGCGGCCGAUGUCAGAUUAGGUAGUUGGUGGGGUAAAGGCCUACCAAGCCGACGAUCUGUAGCUGGUCUGAGAGGACGACCAGCAACACUGGGACUGAGACACGGCCCAGACUCCUACGGGAGGCAGCAGUGGGGAAUUUUGGACAAUGGGCGAAAGCCUGAUCCAGCCAUGCCGCGUGCGGGAAGAAGGCCUUCGGGUUGUAAACCGCUUUUGUCAGGGAAGAAAUCUUCUGGGUUAAUACCUCGGGAGGAUGACGGUACCUGAAGAAUAAGCACCGGCUAACUACGUGCCAGCAGCCGCGGUAA
rnacentral:rRNA from 1 species